GCUUAGAGUUUGAUCCUGGCUCAGGACGAACGCUGGCGGCGGGCUUAACACAUGCAAGUCGAACGUGAAGCCUGGAGCUUGCUCCGGGUGGAAAGUGGCGCACGGGUGCGUAACGCGUAGGCAACCUGCCCUCGAGUGGGGAAUAACCGUCGGAAACGACGGCUAAUACCACAUGACGUCUUUCUCUCGCAUGGGAGAUUGAUUAAAGCCUUCGGGCGCUUAGGGAUGGGCCUGCGUCGGAUUAGUUAGUUGGUGAGGUAACGGCUCACCAAGGCGAUGAUCCGUAGCUGGUCUGAGAGGAUGAUCAGCCACACUGGCACUGAGACACGGGCCAGACUCCUACGGGAGGCAGCAGUGAGGAAUAUUGCGCAAUGGGCGAAAGCCUGACGCAGCCACGCCGCGUGGAGGAAGACACCCCUAUGGGGCGUAAACUCCUUUUAUGCGAGAAGAAAUCCCCGACAUGUCGGGGCCUGACGGUAUCGUAUGAAUAAGCACCGGCUAACUCCGUGCCAGCAGCCGCGGUAAUACGGAGGGUGCAAGCGUUGUCCGGAAUCACUGGGUGUAAAGGGUGUGUAGGCGGGAUAGCAAGUCAGAGGUGAAAUCCUGCAGCUUAACUGUAGAACUGCCUCUGAUACUGUUAUUCUUGAGUAUCGGAGAGGUCGCUGGAAUUCGUGGUGUAGCGGUGAAAUGCGUAGAUAUCACGAGGAACACCAGAGGCGUAGGCGGGCGACUGGACGAUUACUGACGCUGAGGCACGAAAGCGUGGGGAGCAACAGGAUUAGAUACCCUGGUAGUCCACGCUGUAAACGAUGGAUGCUCGGUGUUGCCCCGUU
rnacentral:rRNA from 1 species